ACGUAGGUUCCGAGCGUUAUCCGGAUUUACUGGGCGUAAAGCGCGUUCAGGCGGUUUGGCAAGUCGGGCAUGAAAUCUCUCGGCUCAACCGGGAGAGGUUGUCCGAUACUGCUGGACUUGAGGGCAGUAGAGGGUGGUGGAAUUCCGGGUGUAGCGGUGGAAUGCGUAGAGAUCCGGAGGAAGACCGGUGGCGAAGGCGGUCUGCUGGGCA
rnacentral:rRNA from 1 species